GUAUUGUAUUGCGUUAAACGCGGCAUGCAUUCCAUGAGACUUUGUUACAGUGUGUGUGUAAAAAAAAAGCAGAACCACAGCAGGAGGACAGGCCCCCUGACCAUAGAACUACAGAGAGUGCACAGGGUGUGAGUGGAUGUGUGAACAGAGCGUGCACGUGCCCCCCUUGUUUGAGGACCAGCAACAACUCUUGUUGACAAUUCGGUAAUGAUCCUUCCGCAGGUUCACCUACGGAAA
rnacentral:misc_RNA from 1 species